rnacentral:rRNA from 1 species
GAUGAACGCUGGCGGCGUGCCUAAUACAUGCAAGUCGAGCGAACAGACGAGGAGCUUGCUUCUCUGACGUUAGCGGCGGACGGGUGAGUAACACGUGGAUAACCUACCUAUAAGACUGGGAUAACUUCGGGAAACCGGAGCUAAUACCGGAUAAUAUAUUGAACCGCAUGGUUCAAUAGUGAAAGACGGUCUUGCUGUCACUUAUAGAUGGAUCCGCGCCGCAUUAGCUAGUUGGUAAGGUAACGGCUUACCAAGGCAACGAUGCAUAGCCGACCUGAGAGGGUGAUCGGCCACACUGGAACUGAGACACGGUCCAGACUCCUACGGGAGGCAGCAGUAGGGAAUCUUCCGCAAUGGGCGAAAGCCUGACGGAGCAACGCCGCGUGAGUGAUGAAGGUCUUCGGAUCGUAAAACUCUGUUAUUAGGGAAGAACAUAUGUGUAAGUAACUGUGCACGUCUUGACGGUACCUAAUCAGAAAGCCACGGCUAACUACGUG